ACCGCAACCGUAAUAUUUUCAAUUAUCAUUAUUCUUCAUCUUCAUAUAUUCAUUAAUCACCACCACCAUGCCUAAAUCAUCUAAAUACACUGAAUCUCAACUUCAAAAUGCUGUUGACAUGUUAAAAUCAAAUCCAAAAUUAAAAAUGGUGAAGAUGGUGCAAGAAUUUGAGAUUUCAUAUACAACAUUGAUUGAGCGGGUUAGAGGCAGCAAACCAAAGACUAUGAGAAUUUCAAUCAAUUGAAUAUUGAAUGACAGUCAGAAGGAGGCUCUUAAGAGAUGGAUAAUACAGUUGAAUAUUAAUUUUUGUCCUUCCAUCAUUGAGUAUAUUGAAACUGCUGCAAAUCAUAUGUUGAGUCUUCAUCACAUCAAUUCUGACAUUGAUCCUCCAACUGUCAGCAAAAUAUGAGCAUAUCAGUUCACAAAUUGUCUCUUGGGGUAUAGCAGAGUGAAACAGAAGCCAAUGGAUUCAAAACAGAUGUCUAGUGAAGAUAUGCUACCGAGUCUCUAAUCUAGCAAGCUUCUCACUGGUUAUAAGCUAAGGUCGGGGCUUAUAUAGUGUUGCUGAGCUUGUUCACUAGGUCAGGAGGUAGUGCCACUAUCACAGGUUAAGAUAUAACGUCAAGAGGAAUAUCUAGGAUGACUAGCAAUAGCUACGGCGGCGGCCUAAGGUAGACAAUAAGAAUACCUAGUAGGGCUUACAGGGUAGGGCGAAUGCUUAAGGUAUGCGUCGUGAAGAAGUAUACUUAAGGUGAGCUUAUAGUCGUACAAUGUAACUGAGUA
rnacentral:sRNA from 1 species